AGUUAAAGGGAACCUGUCAUCAGGGCCACAUAAAUAAGUAACUGAUUCUCGUAGCAAAAUGCUGGGUCACUUUCUUUAAUUGACCCAGUCAAUCUGCCAACAUCUUGUAUUGAAAAGCUCCAGCUGAUAAUGAUGAGUCAUGAAUAU